rnacentral:rRNA from 1 species
AGCAGCCGCGGUAAUUCCAGCUCCAAUAGCGUAUAUUAAAGUUGUUGCAGUUAAAAAGCUCGUAGUUGAAUUUCGGAAUCUGUCCAUCGGUCGGGCUUCACUGUCCGUACUGGUGUGGUGGGUUCUUACCUUCUGAAUAACCAGCAUGCCAUUCACUUGGUGCGCUGGGGAAGCAGGACUAUUACCUUGAAAAAUUGAGUGCUCAAAGCAGGCUAGUGCCUGAAUACAUUAGCAUGGAAUAAUAAAUAGGACGGCAUGGUUCUAUUUUGUCGGUUUCUAGGAUCACCGUAAUGAUUAAUAGGGAUAGUUGGGGGCAUUAGUAUUCAAUUGUCAGAGGUGAAAUUCUUGGAUUUAUUGAAGACUAACUUCUGCGAAAGCAUUUGCCAAGGAUGUUUUCAUUAAUCAAGAACGAAAGUUAGGGGAUCGAAGACGAUACAGAUACCGUCGUAGUCUUAACCAUAAACUAUGCCGACUAGGGAUCGGACGAUGUUAAUUUUAAUGUACUCGGUUACC